GAAACUAAAAAAAUUUGGCGGCAAUUUAAUUUUUUAGAGGMACUUGUUUCGUGAUCGAUAUUCCUCGGGUUAGUUAUUUUGAUUAGUUUAGCUUAUAUACCGUUGUUAUAAGAAUAUAUUUUUAGAUAAUUUUCUUAAAAUCAAUGAGAUUGAAUUUCAGAUCAAGGUUUAGUUCAUAUCAGAGGGAAAAUGAGUUACAAUAAAGGUAUUUAUAUGGAUGUAAGUUUUAAUAUUUAUAUGAAGGUGGAUUUAAGAGUAAGUUUAUUGAAUACAAGAUUUAUUGAAGUUAAAUCUAAUUUGUGC
rnacentral:rRNA from 1 species